AUUGAACGCUGGCGGCAGGCCUAACACAUGCAAGUCGAGCGGUAACAGGAAGAAGCUUGCUUCUUUGCUGACGAGUGGCGGACGGGUGAGUAAUGUCUGGGAAACUGCCUGAUGGAGGGGGAUAACUACUGGAAACGGUAGCUAAUACCGCAUAACGUCGCAAGACCAAAGAGGGGGACCUUCGGGCCUCUUGCCAUCGGAUGUGCCCAGAUGGGAUUGGCUAGUAGGUGGGGUAACGGCUCACCUAGGCGACGAUCCCUAGCUGGUCUGAGAGGAUGACCAGCCACACUGGAACGUGGACACGGUCCAGACUCCUAAGGGAGGCAGCAGUGGGGAAUAUUGCACAAUGGGCGCAAACCUGAUGCAGCCAUGCCGCGUGUAUGAAGAAGGCCUUCGGGUUGUAAAGUACUUUCAGCGGGGAGGAAGGGAGUAAAGUUAAUACCUUUGCUCAUUGACGUUACCCGCAGAAGAAGCACCGGCUAACUCCGUG
rnacentral:rRNA from 1 species